GGGCGGAGGGAGAAAACGCGGCAAAUGCUAACUGAAUGGAAAGCAGAGUUGGGGCGCUGUCCCAGAUUCGUGAACCUAGAAAUGUAAAGACCAGAAUGUGAUCACAGAGAACUUACUUGUCCAUCUAAAAAAGAAAGAAGGCUUCAGGACUCAGGGAGAUUUGAAUGCCUUCUAUGUGCCCAGUUUGAAAACAAGUAUUAUGACAAAAAAUUCAAGAGGAACAUGUUCUUGCCCACAGAAACGUUCGUCCUAGGAGACAGGAAACCGUCUGGAAGUCACGUUCAGUAAGAGGCGGAAAAGAAGUCUGCAUCGAGGGCACGAGGCAGAAGGUGACUUUUUGACCACAGUGACCUGGUUAAGCAGGGAGCAGCUGGAAAACUGUCUAAAGAAGUGUAAGCUGGUGAGCAGAGAAACUUCCAUGCCAAGUUACAAAUCCUAAUCAAGGAUCCAAACAACUGAAAGGAAAAGUGAUUCUUGGGUAUUCUGAGGAAAUUACUCAGACAUUACGUGGGGCUAGGGAGAAAAAAAUUUCCCUUUUGUGUUUGUUUGUUUUAAAUAUUUAUUUAUUUAUUUGAGAGAGAC